CAUUGAUGCAGUUCAAGAUUAUACUGGUUGUUUUGACAGCUAGGAGGAUUGAAGAAAAACUUACCCAGCAAAUGGCAAUCUUUUUGACAGAAAGUAAGGGGGAAAAUUACAAAUAAUUAAAAAAAAGGAGGAUUAGCUGAAUCUUGAAAUCAUUAAAAAAAUGCAUUAACAAUUCUGAGCCCAAUCGCAAGCGACCAUAAAAUCAUCAGUUUCUGUCAUCUACUCAACACAAGAAGAACAAAUCUUAUAUACCCAGAUGAAAUAAAACCAGAUUUCUCACUGAAACUGCUAAUAAUGAAAUUAAAGCAUUUCCAGCUUGAAAGGAUUAGCCAGUGACAUCAUUGUUGUCUGGUGGACUCCCAGUUGGAGGCUCCUUUCAUUUCCCUGGCAGGAGCUGGAGUGAAGGACGCGAGCUCAACCUCACUCCACAGCAGCUCUUGGGUCUCAAACACAGGCUUGCUAAACUCCAUCCCAGCAUCCUAAACAUGUGAGCCACUGUGGUCCUUUGAGGAAGACCUUAACUAAGCGUAAGAUGGUUAGGCACUAUCACUGAUAGCACAUGCAUGAGUUUACAAACACUAAAACAGCCAAUUACCAACCAAUUGACAAAAUGAUGUUCAUUUGUUGGCAAAGAGUCUGAAAAAGUUCAUUAUUUCUCUUGAAGGGAAUAUGAAUAAACAAAAAUAACUUCUGUA